AAAAAGGCAAACUAUGGGUUUUCGUGUCCAAUUUUAACUGUCCGUCUUAUAUGAAAUUUUUUUAUAAUUCGUAUUUUUAUUAUUGUUAGAUGAUAAAACAUGAUUAAUAUUUUAUGCGUGACUUAUCUUUUUAAUUUUUUUCAUAAUUUUUUUAAAUAAGACGGACGGUCAAAUGUUGGGCACGGAAACCAGGGUUUGUCUUUAUU
rfam:Oryza meridionalis cultivar OR44 (W2112) chromosome 12, whole genome shotgun sequence.